rnacentral:rRNA from 1 species
UGCUAAGACUGGAUAGGAAAAGUAAAGGCAUCUUUACUUUUUUAAAAGACCUUCUUUGAAGGUAUGCUUAAGGAGGGGCUUGCGACACAUUAGUUAGUUGGUAGGGUAAAGGCCUACCAAGACUAUGAUGUGUAGCUGGACUGAGAGGUUGAACAGCCACAUUGGGACUGAGACACGGCCCAAACUCCUACGGGAGGCAGCAGUAGGGAAUUUUCGGCAAUGGAGGAAACUCUGACCGAGCAACGCCGCGUGAACGAUGAAGUACCUCGGUAUGUAAAGUUCUUUUAUUAAGGAAGAAAAAAGAGUGGAAAAACUCCCUUGACGGUACUUAAUGAAUAAGCCCCGGCUAAUUAUGUGCCAGCAGCCGCGGUAAUACAUAAGGGGCGAGCGUUAUCCGGAAUUAUUGGGCGUAAAGGGUGCGUAGGCGGUUUAAUAAGUCUAUAGUUUAAUUUCAGUGCUUAACGCUGUUGUGCUAUAGAAACUGUUUUACUAGAGUGAGUUAGAGGCAAGCGGAAUUCCAUGUGUAGCGGUAAAAUGCGUAAAUAUAUGGAGGAACACCAAAAGCGUAGGCGGCUUGCUGGGACUUUACUGACGCUGAGCACGAAAGCGUGGGGAGCAAACAGGAUUAGAUACCCUGGUAGUCCACGCCGUAAACGAUGAGUACUAAGUGUCGGGUAAAACCGGUACUGAAGUUAACACAUUAAGUACUCCGCCUGAGUAGUACGUACGCAAGUAUGAAACUUAAAGGAAUUGACGGGACUCCGCACAAGCGGUGGAUCAUGUUGUUUAAUUCGAAGAUACACGAAAACCCUUACCAGGUCUUGACAUUUUCUUGCGAAGUUAUAGAAAUAUAAUGGAGGUUAUCAGGAAAACAGGUGGUGCAUGGUUGUCGUCAGCUCGUGUCGUGAGAUGUUAGGUUAAGUCCUAAAACGAGCGCAACCCUUGUCGUUAAUUGCCAGCAUGUAAUGAUGGGGACUUUAACGAGACUGCCAAUGAAAAAUUGGAGGAAGGUGGGGAUUACGUCAAAUCAUCAUGCCCCUUAUGAUCUGGGCUACAAACGUGAUACAAUGGUUGAUACAAAGAGUAGCUGAAACGCGAGUUCUUAGCCAAUCUCACAAAAUCAAUCUCAGUUCGGAUUGAAGUCUGCAACUCGACUUCAUGAAGUUGGAAUCGCUAGUAAUCGCGAAUCAGCAUGUCGCGGUGAAUACGUUCGCGGGGUUUGUACACACCGCCCGUCAAA